CGGGUGUUGAAACUCCUGAGAGUCUACCACUCACACUAAUUCCCUACUUGAACGGUUAGGAUUACCUUCACUUCAACCAUCCAGCAUUAUAGCAUGGCAACAGUUAUUGGACUGUGCCUGCGAGUUAAGCUGAUGCGCUGUUUCCCUCCACAUUUCAAGGUGGGUCUUCUUAAUGUGGACGGUUACUACAACUCCCUUCUUACUUUCAUCAAAAAGUUGUGGACGAUGGAUUCAUCAAGCCCAAUCAGCGCCACAUAAUCGUGUCCACACCAAACGCCAAAGAGUUGGUGCAGAAACUAGAGAUACCAAAGGCAUCGACAAAUACCCGAAAGUUCAGAAGCAGAUGCAGGCCUUGUUGGCCACAUUCACCUUGAUAAGGUGUGUUUGCCCUGCAUAAAAUUUGGUUUAGUUUCUUUCUUGAGAUAACUUAUUUUCAGAAACAGUGACACUAUAAAUUCUGUUACAUGUGGAACUCAUU